rnacentral:rRNA from 1 species
AGUGAACGCUGGCGGCGUGCUUAACACAUGCAAGUCGAACGAGAACGGCUCUAGCUUGCUAGAGUGUCAGCUAAGUGGCGGACGGGUGAGUAAUGUAUAGCUAAUGUGCCCCUUAGAGAGGGAUAACAGUUGGAAACGACUGCUAAUACCUCAUACUCCUUCUAAACCUAAGUUUAGUCGGGAAACGUUUUUUCGCUAAGGGAUCGGGCUAUAUGGUAUCAGCUUGUUGGUGAGGUAACGGCUCACCAAGGCUAUGACGCCUAGCUGGUCUGAGAGGAUGAUCAGCCACACUGGAACUGAGACACGGUCCAGACUCCUACGGGAGGCAGCAGUGGGGAAUAUUGCACAAUGGGGGAAACCCUGAUGCAGCAACGCCGCGUGGAGGAUGACGCAUUUCGGUGUGUAAACUCCUUUUAUAUAGGAAGAUAAUGACGGUACUAUAUGAAUAAGCACCGGCUAACUCCGUG